CCCCAGCAGCCGACAUUCUAGAAUCUAAAAAUGCUUCAGGAGAGCCAAGAAGAUCCCUAUACAAGAGUAUGAGGAAGAGAUUAACCUCAACUAUCUCAAGGAUUAGCAGGAAAACUGGUUCUGUAACUCGGACAUCAACUCUGGACGAAAGCAGCUACCUAAGUUUCUGGAGAAAUUGCUUAGGAAAAUAUCUUGACACGAAUGGAGUUGACUCAGAGGAUCUACUGGCAACCAGAUAUGGGCAUAUUGUGUUUGUGUGUGUGCGUGUUAUCUAUAAACCCCAGAAGCAUAUGUUGCACUUUAUCCAGCAAGUACAGUAGGUAGCACCCAGAUCCCAACGAAA